GGAGCAGUACUCAAGUGGUGAAGAGGACGGUUUGCUAAACCGUUAGACUGGGAAACCGGUGCGAGAGUUCGACCCUCUCCUGCUCCGCCA
rnacentral:tRNA from 1 species